rnacentral:tRNA from 1 species
AGGGUAGUAGUUCAAUUGGUAGAGCAGCGGUCUCCAAAACCGCAAGUUGUGGGUUCGAGCCCCUCCUACCCUGCCA